CCCAACUAUAUCGGCGAGGCU
rnacentral:miRNA from 1 species